rnacentral:rRNA from 1 species
GACGAACGCUGGCGGCGUGCUUAACACAUGCAAGUCGAGCGGAAAGGCCCUUCGGGGUACGUCGAGCGGCGAACGGGUGAGUAACACGUGAGUAAUCUGCCUCUAGCUCUGGGAUAGCUCCGGGAAACCGGGAUUAAUACCGGAUACGACCACUCAAGACAUCUUCUGUGGUGGAAAGAAUUUCGGCUAGAGAUGAGCUCGCGGCCUAUCAGCUUGUUGGUGGGGUAACGGCCACCAAGGCGACGACGGGUAGCCGGCCUGAGAGGGCGACCGGCCACACUGGGACGUGAGACACGGCCCACGACUCCUACGGGAGGCGAGCAGUGGGGAAUAUUGCGCAAUGGGCGAAAGCCUGACGCAGCGACGCCGCGUGGGGAGUGAAGGCC